rnacentral:tRNA from 1 species
GCGGCCGUGGCGGAAUUGGCAGACGCGCAAGGUUCAGGUCCUUGUGCCCGUUCAGGGCGUGAAGGUUCGACUCCUUUCGGCCGCA